CACAGGUUUAGUUUGAGCUGCCACGGUUGCCACGCUGUAGUUUGGGUGAAAACUUGAGUGGCUGAAAUUUUCGAAAUGGCUGGUAAAAGAAAGGAUAACUACGAUAAAAACACACACAAUUCAAAAAAAACAAAAUUCUCUGCCAAAUGGAAAGCAGACAAAAUGGCUGCUGCAAAACUGAACGAGGCUGAUCUGCACGAACAGGAGACUGGAGAUCAGAAAUAAACCUUUAGAACGGAUCAGCAGGACUGGCAAAGCGGAGUGAUAAAAACACAAAUUCGUUUUUAUGCGUGGCAUAUGCGGGGUAUGUUCAAAGAAGAACUGGAUGUUCUGGGUACAAAUGAAACGACUAACCAAAAUAAACGAUCACGAUUGGACAAAACGAUCAACUCCAAUGCGGAGAUAAUCGGUUUCAUGAACAGAAAAACCAAGCCAAGCUAGACAAGCCAAACCAACACAAAAACUGCGUGAAGGAAAUUGAUUCCUCAGAGCAUCGAAUGCAAACCCUGGAUGAAACUAGAACGAAUAAAAAUUAUUCGACUCACUCUGUUGACUUUGAGAUUUGUGCCGAUAUAGCUGAUGAGCCCGAUACAGACAGCUACUCGAAAUGCAUCACUCUGGAAGUAGAAAAUAAAAAACUGAAGGAUCAAUUGAAGGUUAGCAGGCGGAAACUGUUGAAGGCACAGGAGGAAAAAAUGGCGUCAGAUGAGCACGCUUUAAAAUUGUCAAAGGAGGUGCAAUUGAUUAAAGACAAAAAUAAUUAUCCACAGGUAACAUUGAAUUAACUUUUUUUUGUAGAGCACAUUCUUUUCCCGUUUUCUUAUAUCUUCUUAUAUAUCCUGGCUUGCUUCACCACGCAAGAUGGAAUACCGAUGACAGUAGAACUGAUUGAAUGUGAUGACCGCGCUAAAACGGAUAACAAAAUCGCCGAACGUGCAGCUAUUCGUGUUGGUGUACAAAACGUUCUAAGUAUCAGGAAACGUUCAGAGUAAACGGAAGUCACGAGAUACAUCGCUCAGAAGAUUGCCAACUUAAAGAAGGCAAAUUUGGUUCGACGAACCCACAACGCGAUCAACAAGAAGGUGCUGUCUGACGAAAAUGUUCGAGUUUAGAUUGAUUCAGGAGCUGCAGAAAUAUUUUACAAGAAAAAAAUCUGCAGCAGUUUUGUUUUUUAAGGCUAGAGUAAAAAACGCAUUGAAUACGUGCCAAGAGAGUACAAGAAGAAUUAAUUGUUAUGUUUAAUGUAUAUGUUAUGCAUAAACACGUAAUCAA